rnacentral:rRNA from 1 species
UACGAAGGGGGCUAGCGUUGUUCGGAUUUACUGGGCGUAAAGGGCGCGUAGGCGGGCUGAUCAGUCAGGGGUGAAAUCCCAAGGUUCAACCUUGGAACUGCCUUUGAUACUGUCGGUCUUGAGUUCGAGAGAGGUAAGUGGAACUGCGAGUGUAGGAGGUGAAAUUCGUAGAUAUUCGCAAGAACACCAGUGGCGAAGGCGGCUUACUGGCUCGAAACUGACGCUGAGGCGCGAAAGCGUGGGGAGCGAACAGG